rnacentral:rRNA from 1 species
UACGUAGGGUCCGAGCGUUAUCCGGAAUUAUUGGGCGUAAAGGGCUCGUAGGCGGUUUGUUGCGUCGGGAGUGAAAACCCAGGGCUUAACUCUGGGCUUGCUUCCGAUACGGGCAGACUUGAGGUAUUCAGGGGAGAACGGAAUUCCUGGUGUAGCGGGUGAAAUGCGCAGAUAUCAGGAGGAACACCGGUGGCGAAGGCGGUUCUCUGGAAUUACCUGACGCUGGAGGAGCGAAGUGUGGAGCGAACAGGA